rnacentral:lncRNA from 1 species
GGGAUAUUGGAUGUGUUUAGUCUUAGAUUUUUUUAUUAGUUGUUAUUAACUUUGAACUAGCUUUCUGUUACUGUUGUAUCUUUAGGGAUUUUGCUAGUUAUUAUGUGCUUUGUAUCGAUUUGAUGAGUUAAGCCCUGUUAAACCUUUGUCCCAAGGUAAAGAAGAGGGUGGUUCGCCCACAAACUUUUUUUUUUACCCGACACAUAAUAUAAAAUAAAUGACAGUUUACUCGAAUUCAG